UGUGUGGGUGGCAUACAUUUUUUUUGUAUAUACUAGCAAAUACAUGAUCUAUCUUCUAUGUGGAAAGGUAUGAGAGAAAAAACAAUAAAAGGAAAUGCUUCAUGUUGUUUCAUAGAUGGAAUGUCUUGCAUGCAAAUAGAUUAAGAAAGGAAAUAAAAGUUGUACUAACGAGUUGAACCCAAUUAAGGUGCCCAGGCACUUAGGUGUCCCAUAUAAUUUAUCUCUAUAUAUAUAUAUAUGGGAUCCUGUUAUUUUGGAUCAUGAUCGGCCCUAUAAGAGCGCGCAAAGGCCCUCCCGAACUCCCGUAACAGCCGAGAAGAAAAUUAGAAAACCAACCCAGUCCUGCACCUCCUUUGCCCUGAUUCCUCCCGCGUCGCCCCAUCCUGCCCGGGAACUAGCCACCGCGCAGCCACCAGUCCCAAAUCCGGUCGCCGCACCACUCCCUCCCCAGGAUUCGGCCGCCGCACCGCCAACCGCCCCCGGAUCCGGCCGCUACGCCACCCUCGUCCAUGAUCCGGCCACCGCGCCGCCUCCACCCUGGAUCCGAUCCCGCUGCUGCCUGCCGCCACCACGCAAUGGUCGUGCCCCUGUUUCUCGAACACGGCCGCGCCGCUGCGUUUGAUGCGCCGCCGUGCCUCCCCUGCCACCCAGGCUGCUCGGCCUCACCUAGCUCGUCCUCCCGACGACGACCUCCUGCCAUGUGCGCCUCCUUCCUGCUCCGCCCCGGCCACGAGCGCCUCCCCGGUUUCUCUGUUCACUGCCACCCGCCUCCACCGACGGCACGCCUGGCAGUGUACCGCCAUGGCCAACCAUCAGCCUCCUCCCGACCCCCAGCUGCUUCGCCCGUUGCCAUGUUGAACUUCUCGUGGAGGCCGCUUUGACCUUCCUGAGUUAGGUUCAUAUUUAGUUUUUUUUUUUUGUGCUCGACGGUGAGACACUGUUGAUCUCCUUUAGCUCUCUUGUUCUUCCUGCAAACAAGGCCGGGUUCAGUUUUGGUGGCUUCAAGCUGCAUGCUCUGGUUGCUAAUUGAACUGCUUGCUGCAUCUGUGACACCUUCUCCUCCUAGUCCUCAGUCAAUGGACACAACAUGGCUGUGGCAUUCAAAAGCUCAGCUCGGUGCCAAGCGGGAUGCUGCAGAGCUGCCGUCGUGAUCCUGCUGAGGUGAGGUCAAGGCGCUGGAGUCCGGUGGCACUGCUGCAUGCCGUGUGAUCUUUUUUGCUGAGGUCGAGCUGCUAGAGUGCGGUGGUGCUCGUCACCCUCCUAGAGAUCCGGUGCUGCUGUUGGCUUUAUCUUGUUGCUGUUUGUCUAACUGUGAGAGAGAGCAUGUAUUUUCUCUUCCUGUACACUUACUACUCUGAAUAACUGGAUCCCGUCAGUAGGUUGGUGUUGUACUAAUAAUGCAACAUAAUUAACAGUCUACUAGAUGAGAAAUUGUGUUUGGGUUGCACUGUCGCUAGUGCAUUCAGCUUUGCUAAAAAGAAAGUUAAAAUUUUGGUAA